ensembl:lncRNA
GAAGCUAAAAGCAAGCCUCUGCUUGGACAAAAACAUACUUAUGCUAAAACCAUUUGUUUAAAAAACAUUUAAACUUAUGAGUUCAAUCACAAUAAACUGAAGUCCUUCAGAAAGUCAUUGAAGUUCUCCACGGUUAUACAAACAGAGUAGACUGUGAUUCUCCAAUCAGAUAUACAUCUGCCUAAAGGAACGUUGACUUUAAGCAGUGUUUAUGGGGCUUUCUCAAAUACUUGCCAAUGGUUUUACUAACCUUCUCCUCCAGAUGUGAAUUAUGAUUUCACAUAGGAUAAUACAGGUAAUUUCAUCAUUUGAUAGUGCCCUCCAGAAUUUAUUCUAUCCCUCCUCAAUGCCUCUUUGUACACCUCACUUUAAAAGUGAGAACAUUAAUCUCAUCACCUCAAACCUUGCUACUUUUUUUGCUACAGAAAUUCCAUCUUUCUUUGAGGAUCUGUGUAUAUAUACAUAUUUUUUUUUUUUUUUUUCAGAUCUGAAGAAUCACUGUAGUUUGGGUGUGGGGAGAUGGCCUCUAUCCAGACAAACAUAUACAGCCCUGACUCAGCAGCAUGUACAGCCCAGCCAACAAUCAAGUACUGGAUCUACCUUCUGAGUUGAUGGUACUGAACUGCAGUGUAAGAACUAAAAACCCAAAGCAUUUUAUUGCAUGAAAUCAUAAGAAAGAAAACCGUAUCACAGCUGAGUACAGUGAUAAUUUCUUCUGCCUUAUUUUACACUAAAAGUAAAUAUCAUACAUGAUUGACACAGAUCUACUUGCAUGCAGAGGUAAGAAGACACAGCACAUGAAGGUGGUUUCCAUCCCCAUGCUCAGAUAGCCCAUGUACUUUGUUCCUGCAGUGGGGAAGGUGAGCUGUCACACAUCUCAGUAAGCUUCAGAUACCUCACAGUCCGUGAGCUGAACACACCCCCACAGGACUUCUGGAGCUUCAGUCUUGCUGCCAGGCUGCCCACAGCCCUCCCUCAGCAGCUGGCUGCGUUAGCUGUUCCCAGCAGCGUGGUGGGACCAGUCCUGCAAGCACAGGGAGGGUGAGCGCUGGGGCGGUGCUGCGGCGGGCCAGCAGGAUGCUGCUCUCAUCAUGUGGCCUGUCCUUGUCAAACCAGUUGUGCCACUGGCAUUGCUACCACUCUUCCUCUUAUCCUGGUUUGCUACUUUCUCCACUCUUCAAAUAGUUACCCUUUGUUGGCCUUAUUGAGCCUUCCCAUCUUUCUUCUGCUCCCAGCUUUGCCAUUAAUGUCUUUCAUAACAAACACAGACAGAGAAACAAACCUGUCAUUUAUUUUUGUGCCCAUAUACCUUGUUGCCCAUCCUCUUAAGUGCAUUCUUUCAAUGAAAUUUAAUUUAGCAGCUGCAGCUGUACUCAUUGCUUAAAAUAAAUAUAUUAAGAGGUGUAGAAAAUGGUCAGGUAUUCAAGGAAAGUGCUUGCACUUAUGCUUGCUGCUGACAUUUGCAGUGCUCUUUAAGAGGCCUGAGCUGUUGCCAUAUGUUUCUGCAGGAUAAAAUGACUUAAGAUUCUAUUUUGGUCUCUAAUUUCUAUCAUUAAAUGAACAUCUCUGGUAACACUGAGAUGGAACUUCAAGUUUCCAAUGCAUUUUCCAAAAGGAAUAGGAGAUAACCCAAGUGUCUAGUGUUAGAGUCACAGCAUCAGGACUGGAGAUGAGCCAACACUAAAGUCUGUGUGGCAGCUGUCUCUACCUAAGCAAGUUGACUUAAUGCUCAGUGAGCUGAAGUUUAAGAACAACUUUCCAUGGAACUAUUGAGAUGCUUUAAGAAAGGCACAUAACUAGAAGUUAGCAAGCUUUUUCCCCCCCCCCCCCCCCCCCCCCCCC